UACGUAGGUGGCAAGCGUUGUCCGGAUUUACUGGGCGUAAAGAGCGCGCAGGCGGUCGUUCAAGUCGAGUGUGAAAGCCCCCCGGCUCAACUGGGGAGGGUCACUCGAUACUGAUCGACUCGAAGGCAGAAGAGGGAAGCGGAAUUCCCGGUGUAGUGGUGAAAUGCGUAGAUAUCGGGAGGAACACCAGUGGCGAAGGCGGCUUUCUGGUCUGCUCUUGACGCUGAGGCGCGAAAAGCUAGGGUAGCAAACGGG
rnacentral:rRNA from 1 species